rnacentral:lncRNA from 1 species
ACGGACUGGAAGCAAGGCUAAGGCUGGAGGAUUGUCAAGAUUGCUGUGUUUGCAAUAAGUGAAUUUUCUUUGUGUGUAAGGAAUUAAACAGAGAAAGCAGUGGCUCCCUACAUUCAAGUACAAGAAGAGCAAAGAUGCCAAGUUCCUCAAGUGGCAUUUGGGGUGCUCAGUUAAGACCAGAUAAAAUUAGUUCAGAUGUCCAAAAAGAAGGUUGAAUAGACAUUACAGAAACUGGAAGGAAGGGGACACUUCUGUGCUCCACCAGAAGCCAAAUGGAGCUAACUUACACCUACAGCCUGUCCAGAUUGUGGGCUCAAAGCACAACUAAAUGUCGUUGUUGAAAGGCUCGUGUGUUAAGGUGGGUCAUGGUCCUUAACUUUCCCAACGCUGAACUCUUGGCCCUCUGCAGAUCCCAGAGCUUUGUGUCAUCUCAGGACAGAGGAGCUUUGACAUCUGGGAUAAAUGCUUCCUUUUGAGGAACAGAGAUCUAAAGCCUACAGCUGGAUUGAACUAUUUUACCAUCAUAAAGAGACAAGAACAAAGAAUUGCCAUGAACUUAGCCCUGCAAAGCUCAAUACUUUCAUCUUUAUGGUUGUAAAAUUCUCUGUUUUCGUUUUGCUGCU